rnacentral:lncRNA from 1 species
AUCUUACUAAACAAUAAAAUCCAAAUAUACCAAGCAUGUUUCAAUAGAUAUACCAUAUAAAAUCGUAGUACUAUCGCGCUACACAAAAAAAAAACCAAUUACAUCAAGCAUGGUUCAAUAGAUAGCCCAUCUAACAUUAAAGUACUAUCUUACUACACCACAAGAGUGCACACACUGAAAUGUCUCGCCUUCUUUACUAAUUCCUGAUACUAUCUUGAUAGACCUAAAUAUAAAGCUUUAUUACAACUGUCACAUAAACUCAACAUUAACCAAGAAAAGGAAACAUUUAUCAAUCAACCAUGAAAAUGAGGCCAAGGUCAGAUGAACCAUGCCAGGCAGACAUGUACAGCUAACAAUUUUUCAAUACAACAAAUAUAGUUGACUUAUUGCUUAUAAAUAAAGAAAAACAGACCACAACACACAAACACUUAAAACUUAGCAAUGGACCGUGAAAAUGAGGUCAAAGUCAAAUUAAACCAGCCUAACCAACAUAAAGAUCAUAAAAUAUGUCCAUACACCAAAUAUAGUUGACCUAAUGCAUAAAGUAUUAGAAAAAUAGACCAAAACUAAAAACUUAACUUUGACCACUGAACCAUUAAAAAAAAGGUCAAGGUCAGAUGACACCUGUCAGCUAGACAUCUACACCUUACAAUCAUUCCAUACACC